rnacentral:rRNA from 1 species
CCAGACUCCUACGGGAGGCAGCAGUGGGGAAUAUUGCACAAUGGGGGAAACCCUGAUGCAGCGACGCCGCGUGAGUGAAGAAGUAUUUCGGUAUGUAAAGCUCUAUCAGCAGGAACGAGACAAGACGGUACCUGACUAAGAAGCCCCGGCUAACUACGUGCCAGCAGCCGCGGUAAUACGUAGGGGGCAAGCGUUAUCCGGAUUUACUGGGUGUAAAGGGAGCGUAGACGGUGAGACAAGUCUGAAGUGAAAGCCCGGGGCUCAACCCCGGGACUGCUUUGGAAACUGCCUGACUGGAGUGCUGGAGAGGCAAGCGGAAUUCCUAGUGUAGCGGUGAAAUGCGUAGAUAUUAGGAAGAACACCAGUGGCGAAGGCGGCUUGCUGGACAGUAACUGACGUUGAGGCUCGAAAGCGUGGGGAGCAAACAGGAUUAGAUACCCCUGUAAGC